UACGUAGGGUGCAAGCGUUGUCCGGAAUUAUUGGGCGUAAAGAGCUCGUAGGCGGUUUGUCGCGUCUGCUGUGAAAUUUCGGGGCUCAACCCCGAACUUGCAGUGGGUACGGGCAGACUAGAGUGUGGUAGGGGAGACUGGAAUUCCUGGUGUAGCGGUGAAAUUCGUAGAUAUCGAGAGGAACACCGGUGGCGAAGGCGGCUUUCUGGACGGUUACUGACGCUGAGACGCGAAAGCGUGGGGAGCAAACAGG
rnacentral:rRNA from 1 species